rnacentral:rRNA from 1 species
AGCCUCGAGCCACUACGCACUGGGGGUAGAGAUACUGAAUCGGUUUGGGGCCCUUCCCGGGGUACCCUGCUGAACCAAACUCCGAAUACCAGUGCGAUUAUCUCGGGAGUCAGUCCGCGGGGGAUAAGCUCCGCGGUCGAGAGGGAAACAACCCAGACCAUCUGCUAAGGUCCCGAAGCAAGUCUUAGUCACUAAGGAAGUUGAAUUGCAGAGACAGCCAGGAUGUUGGCUUAGAAGCAGCCAUCAUUUAAAAAGUGCGUAACAGCUUACUGGUCGAGCAAUUCAGCGCCGAUAAUGAACGGGAGUAAGUCUUGCACCGAAGCAGUGGAUGACGCGCAAGCGUCGUGGUAGGAGAGCGCUGUAGACCAGAUACGAGUCGUACCGUAAGGAGCGAUGGCGGGGUCUACAGGUGAUUAUGCCGGAAUGAGUAACGAUAAAGCAGGUGAGAAUCCUGCUCGCCGAAAGCCUAAGGUUUCCUGGGGAAGGUAAUUCCGCCCAGGGUUAGCCGGUACCUUAGUCGAGGCCGAAAGGCGUAGACGAUGGACAGCAGGUUAAUAUUCCUGCGCCGUGGUAGUGGACCGAUGGAGGGACGGCGUCCCAAAAAUGAUCAGCCGACUAGAAAUGGCUGUAGGGCGUUGCAAGGUGGCGGGAUAGGUAAAUCCACCCGCAUAAUCCAAGCGACGAACUCGAGGACAUUUAUGAUUCUGAAGUCAUUAGAGGGACGUCCAAGAAAAGCUUCUAAGGGUUGAAACUAUUGCGACCGUACUAAAACUGACACAGGUAGGCGAGACGAGAAGUCUAAGGCGCUCGGGAGAACACUGGUUAAGGAACUCUGCAAAAUGACCCCGUAAGUUCGCGAUAAGGGGUGCCCUCGGCGGUUCACGCUGCUGGGGGCCACAGUAAAUCGGCUUCUGCGACUGUUUAUCAAAAACACAGGACUCUGCUAACUCGCAAGAGGAUGUAUAGAGUCUGACGCCUGCCCGGUGCCGGUAGGUUAAGGAAGAGGGUUAGCCUUCGGGUGAAGCUCGCGACCGAAGCCCCGGUAAACGGCGGCCGUAACUAUGACGGUCCUAAGGUAGCGAAGUUCCUUGUCGGGUAAGUUCCGACCUGCAUGAAAGGCGUAACGACAGAAGCACUGUCUCAACCAGUGACCCGGUGAAAUUGUAGUCGUGGUGAAGAUGCCACGUACCCGCAGCAAGACGGAAAGACCCCGUGAACCUUUACUGUAGGCUGAUAUUGGGCUGAAGCUUAGUUUGUGUAGGAUAGGUGGGAGGCGUUGAUCUUGCGGCGCAAGCCGUAAGCGAGCCAUCCUUGAAAUACCACCCUGGCUAUGUUUUAGUUCUAACGCUGAUUCCCGUGAAUCCGGGCAGCGGACAGUGUCAGUUGGGCAGUUUGACUGGGGCGGUCUCCUCCCAAAGAGUAACGGAG